UACGGAGGAUGCAAGCGUUAUCCGGAAUUAUUGGGCGUAAAGCGCCUGUAGGUGGAUGUUCAAGUCUGCCGUCAAAGACCGGGGCUUAACCCUGGAAAGGCGGUGGAAACUGAAGAUCUAGAGUGCGGUAGGGGCAGAGGGAAUUCCCAGUGUAGCGGUGAAAUGCGUAGAGAUUGGGAAGAACACCGGUGGCGAAAGCGGUCUGCUAGGCCAAAACUGACACUCAUGGACGAAAGCGAGGGGAGCGAAUGGG
rnacentral:rRNA from 1 species